rnacentral:tRNA from 1 species
GCGGGCGUGGCGGAAUGGUAGACGCAUGAGACUUAAACUCUCUGGGCCGCAAGGCCGUGCGGGUUCAAAUCCCGCCGCCCGCACCA